UACGUAGGUGGCAAGCGUUGUCCGGAUUUACUGGGCGUAAAGGGCGUGCAGGCGGUCUGUUAAGUCUAGGGUGAAAGCUCCCGGCUCAACUGGGAGAGGUCCUUGGAUACUGGCGGACUUGAGGGAGGCAGAGGAGAAUAGAAUUCCCGGUGUAGUGGUGAUAUGCGUAGAUAUCGGGAGGAAUACCAGAGGCGAAGGCGGCUACCUGGACAAUUGCUGACGCUCAGGCACGAAAGCGUGGGGAGCAAAAGGG
rnacentral:rRNA from 1 species